rnacentral:misc_RNA from 1 species
CAGGAACAAUCUGCCAAGACAUCCAUUAGUGUUGGAAGCUUCCCUCAGGCACAUGUAAGUACAAGUUCUGAUGACAUGCCUGUGGCCCAAAACUAUCUGAAUGAUGAUAAAGUGGAGAUCAAAAUCACCGACUUACAUCAGGAUUUGAAAAAAUCAGUUCAAAUUGUCCAAGCUGUUGAGAACUUGGAUGGUGAUAUUGUUGACCAGGUCUCUGCCACCUCUAGCUCAAGUGAAUCAAACAUUCGAAAUAUUGAUGGCAUCAUAGAUCCUAUUCAAGUGGAAGAUUCCCAGAGUUCUGCAUCUCUCAACAUACUAGAUUCUCCCAUUAUAUCUGACAAGUCUACUUCAAGAACCC